ensembl:lincRNA
AUGCUCUCCCUGCCAGCCUCGAGGGAUGCGGGGGUCUCACCAGCCCCGACCCGGCACACGGAGGGACAAGGCGCAAGCCUGCGGGAUGUGGAAGGUCUGGCAGCUGUGGCCUCCCUCUGGCUUCAGCCUCUGGCUCCUCCCACCAGGGCCUCUCACAUGUCAGUCUUUCCCUGGGAACAAGGCACAACUUCCUUAUCUGCUCUGACAGGACUCAAACUCCGAGUUCAAACCCAUUUCCUCCUAAUCUCCCUACGAAUGACCCCAUCCGUCAAGCCCACACGGUCGCAGACUCCGCCCCGCAUGCCCCGCCCCAGAAGCCCACACGCAGUGACGCGUGUUCUCCGGGUACUUCCCUCUUCACGGAUGUGGGAAGGGACGGUCAUGCUGGGCUGCGGAAGCCUCCCGAGGCCAAAGCCUCCUGGUGUGUCUGUGUGGGCGUGGGGCGGAGGAAACCAAGCCUGGCUCAGCUCCCGGCCCCUUCCCGGAGGCCAGCACAGAGUUUCGCCUUCUGGCUCGAUGGGUCACCCCGGAGGACUGUCCAGGCCGCUGGACACAGGGAGGCUCAGCACUAAGCAGACACGACCCAGCGGACAGGGUGGACAGCACAAGGACCGGCGUCAGCAAGCGGAGGAGCAUGAGCGAAUGGACACUCGGAUGCUCGGUCUGUGAUUCUGCACCGUGAGAGGCGGCGUAGGCACCGCAGUUACCGACAGCGUGUACCCACCUUCAUGACCCCGACGGUCAAAACUGUCUCUAGGGGCUACCGAAGGCUACUAGACGAACCGCUGCGGCUGUUAAAGACUUGCCGUCUCAAAACAUGCCAAACUGGUAUUCUGAUGAUUUCAAACCCAAAUCACCGAGGAACUUGAGUGCAGGAGAGGCUGUUUGGUCCGUGUUUUCCUAGUGCAGCAGGUCACAGGGGGAUGCUCUACCCACACCAACACUUUAAAAUAGCCUUGAUCACCGGAGGCUGGGCCACGGGGCUGCCCUGGACCUGAUGAACCAUGAUUUCCACUCGCUUCUAUGCCGUCCCUCCUCUUAGUGACAGCCUAGAAUCCAUCUGUCCUAUCCUUCUUCUGCACACUUAUUAUUCUUUGUCUAUAAAGUACGUAAGCAGCAUGUUUUUGUCAUUCCUUUGGACUCCUCUUUUCUGUGAAGAUCCCCGUGUACAUGUAAGAUAACAGAACUUUCAUGCUUUUCUCUGUUUAAUCAGCUCUUGUAUUUGUAAUGUUCCUAGAUCCAGCCAAAGACCCCCCCAUGAGAAGUAAGGAGGGCAGGAGACUUUCACUCCCCAUACCUCUUUGGACCUCAGUUGCAUGACCUCUCCAAGAGCAAGAGCUGGGACCAGGCUGGCACUGUGCCAUCCAGCAGCCGCGGCCCCACCUGGAGCCAGCUGUCUAAAUGCACAUGUGCAGUGUGGGUAAAACACAUACUGGAUUAUGCCAGCUUGGUAUGAUAAAAACAUUUCAAAAAGAGCUCAUUAAUAAUUUUCUCAUUGGGGCUGGGGAUUUAGCUCAGUGGUUCCGCCGCCUGCCUUGCAAGUGCAAGGACCUAAGUUCGAUCCCCGAUACCAAAAAAAAAAAAAAAAAAAAAAAAAAAAAAAAAAAAAAAAAAAAAAAAAA